rnacentral:misc_RNA from 1 species
ACACUGUGCACUGUUAACGUAUGCUUUGGUAGGGAGUGAAAUGGCCGGAGCCCUCGGGCGCCAGUCUUUCGAUCUGCCAGAGUUUUUUAAAUACUAAACAAACAAACGUCUUAUUAUCUGACUGAACUUCAUUUAAACAAAUGAAAAUACAACUUUUAACAAUGGAUCUCUUG